rnacentral:rRNA from 1 species
AUUGAACGCUGGCGGCAGGCUUAACACAUGCAAGUCGAGCGGGCGUAGCAAUACGUCAGCGGCAGACGGGUGAGUAACGCGUGGGAACGUGCCCUUUGGUUCGGAACAACACAGGGAAACUUGUGCUAAUACCGGAUAAGCCCUUACGGGGAAAGAUUUAUCGCCGAAGGAUCGGCCCGCGUCUGAUUAGCUUGUUGGUGAGGUAACGGCUCACCAAGGCUACGAUCAGUAGCUGGUCUGAGAGGAUGAUCAGCCACACUGGGACUGAGACACGGCCCAGACUCCUACGGGAGGCAGCAGUGGGGAAUAUUGGACAAUGGGGGCAACCCUGAUCCAGCCAUGCCGCGUGAGUGAUGAAGGCCCUAGGGUUGUAAAGCUCUUUCGGCGGGGAAGAUAAUGACGGUACCCGCAUAAGAAGCCCCGGCUAACUUCGUGCCAGCAGCCGCAGUAA